GUUGGUAGGGUAACGGCCUACCAAGGCGAGGACGGAUAGGGGGCCUGAGAGGGUGACCCCCCACACGGGCACUGAGACACGGGCCCGACUCCUACGGGAGGCAGCAGUAAGGGAUAUUGCGACAAUGGGCGAAAGCCUGACGCAGCAACGCCGCGUGGAGGAUGAAGGCCUUCGGGUUGUAAACUCCUUUUCUGUGGGAAGAGGAAGGACGGUACCACAGGAAGAAGUCUCGGCUAACUACGUGCCAGCAGCCGCGGUAAAACGUAGGAGGCGAGCGUUAUCCGGAUUUACUGGGUGUAAAGCGCGUGCAGGCGGCUUGGUAAGUCGAGCGUGAAAGCUCCCGGCUCAACCGGGAGAGGACGUGCGAAACUGCGAGGCUAGAGACAGGUAGAGGCGUACGGAAUUCCGGGUGUAGUGGUGAAAUGCGUAGAUAUCCGGAGGAACACCAGUGGCGAAGGCGGUACGCUGGGCCUGGUCUGACGCUAAGACGCGAAAGCAUGGGGAGCGAACGGGAUUAGAAACCCCGGUAGUCCAUGCCGUAAACGAUGCUAACUAGGUGUUGCGGGUAAAAGACCGGCAGUGCCGGAGUUAACGCGAUAAGUUAGCCACCUGGGGACUACGGUCGCAAGGCUAAAACUCAAAGGAAUUGACGGGGGCCCGCACAAGCAGCGGAGCGUGUGGUUUAAUUCGAGGCUACACGAAGAACCUUACCUGGGCUUGACAUGACGGUGGUAGGGAACCGAAAGGGGACCGACCUUCGGGAGCCGUCACAGGUGCUGCAUGGCUGUCGUCAGCUCGUGUCGUGAGAUGUUCGGUUAAGUCCGGUAACGAGCGCAACCCUCAUCGCUAGUUACAAGUGUCUAGCGAGACUGCCCGUUCAACGCGGGAGGAAGGCGGGGAUGACGUCAAGUCAGCAUGGCCUUUAUGUCCAGGGCUACACACACGCUACAAUGGCCGGUACAAUGGGUCGCCAACCCGCGAGGGGGAGCCAAUCCACCAAAGCCGGUCACAGUUCGAAUUGCAGGCUGCAACCCGCCUGCAUGAAGUCGGAGUUGCUAGUAACCGCAGGUCAGCUAUACUGCGGUGAAUACGUUCCCGGGCCUUGUACACACCGCCCGUCACGUCAUGGGAG
rnacentral:rRNA from 1 species